GAUGAACGCUGGCGGCGUGCUUAACACAUGCAAGUCGAACGGUGAACACGGAGCUUGCUCUGUUGGAUCAGUGGCGAACGGGUGAGUAACACGGGAGCAACCUGCCCCUGACUCUGGGAUAAGCGCUGGAAACGGCGUCUAAUACUGGAUAUGUGACGUGACCGCAUGGUCUGCGUUUGGAAAGAUGUUUCGUUUGGGGAUGGUCUCGCGGCCUAUCAGCUUGUUGGUGAGGUAAUGGCUCACCAAGGCGUCGACGGGAAGCCGGCCUGAGAGGAGGACCGGCCACACUGGGACUGAGACACGGCCCAGACUCCUACGGGAGGCAGCAGUGGGGAAUAUUGCACAAUGGGCGCAAGCCUGAUGCAGCAACGCCGCGUGAGGGAUGACGGCCUUCGGGUUGUAACACUCUUUUAGCAGGGAAGACGCGAAAGUGACGGUACCUGCAGAAAAAGCGCCGGCUAACUACGUG
rnacentral:rRNA from 1 species